UAUGACACAUAAAGAAAGAUGUUGGAUGUUUGGAUGAUGUAAUCAUGUACAGAGAAAAAGGAUCGAGAUCGGGAAUACGAUCGUAGUUCCUGAUCGCGCAAUUUCAACAAAUCUUGGUAUAAAACAUUUCGUGUAAAUGCUUUGUUUAUUUCAAAAAAGUACAUUGCAAUGAUAAUUCUAUUUAUUUAUUUGUAUUUUUUAUGAACUCAUAAAAUUGUGUGCAGACUAGUAAAAGUAAAGAAGCACUAGUCCGGCCGGACCAAAGCCUAAAAAUGUUAGUGUCAAACCCUGGGGUUGUCCAUAUGAAUAGAUGAAAAAGUUGCUGACAUUUAUAAAGUGGAAGGGGGUUGGGCUUCUUCUCUAAGGGGGAAAUAACAAGGCCAUUAUGUCGUUGUAGGCACUGGUCAGGAAAUUCACCUACCUCCGGGUCUUGGGGACAACCCACUCCGGAGAUUCUCUAAUUUUGUAGAAUAAUUUUAUUUUCUGCUGAAAAGUAUUGAUUGGCACAAUUUUUUAAAGCGUAUUAAUGAUGAAAAUCAUUCCCUAUAAGAACUAAAAUAAAAUAUACAGUGAAAGCCAUGUGCAUUUCUAAAAAAUUUUUUUAUCAUAUGUGAAUGUCUGAUGAAUCUUUAAAUUGAUAUUGAAGUGGUAAGUUCUCUUAUUUUCUCCUUGCAUUAACAGUUUUUUUUAAAAAUCUUUGUUUAAGUGGAGUUGAAAUAGUUUCAAGAUUAAAUAGAGUGUGAGAAUAUAUUGUUUAAUUAUUGUGAAAAAUAUUUCCUGACCACAAAUAUUAUUAUUUUCAUUUUUCAACAAGGAUUCCAUUGGUUAGGUUUCAAUGCAUUAAGUGGUAGAUCAGUGGGAGGUUAAAGUUUGCUAUUGGGAUGUUCUCUCCCAGGUUAUAAUGUAAAUCACUAUUAUUCAGAAAACACUUUUUUUCUAGUUUGUAUGCAAGACAUUGUGCUUGCGAAAGAAAAAUUCCUAUGUAGAAUAAUUAUAUUGAGCAGUAAGUGCAAUUCGUGAAAAUUUUGUCUCGAACACU